CGCGGCUGAGGACGAGGAAGUGCUGGGGGACAACUUGCCCCACCCCUGGGAAAGUCCCCGGUGAUCGACAGGCCGAUCGACCAAUCGCGCGGCGCGCUCCUGAUCGGCCCGCGGCCGCCGGGGGAGGAACGGAGCGAGGUUGAGAAUGCUGGAGAGACCUCCUAGAUGAGGAAGUAAAGAUCAGACAACAGGAAAUGACUUCCCAACAGAUGCCCAGAGCAACACUCGUCAAAUCCUGACAAUCCAAAAUAUGUUUGGAUAUUGUCAAGUGUCCCCCGGGGAGCAAGAUCAAUGCUACUGGAAAAUUUCUAUCCUGCAGCCAGACAAGGGCAGAUGCUGCUUUAAAUAACAAGAGAGAAGGAAACUGAGACACAGGCUUUGUGACUUGCCCAAGAACACGCAGCUAGCAAGUGGAAGAGCGGGGACUCCCCCUGGAGCCCAUGUUUUUAACCACAAGGCCGUCUGGCUUCCUGGACACUGUGCUCAGUGGCAAAGAACCAUUACGUG